UACAGAGGUCCCAAGCGUUGUUCGGAUUCAUUGGGCGUAAAGGGUGCGUAGGCGGCGCGGUAAGUCGGGUGUGAAAUCUCGGGGCUUAACUCCGAAACUGCAUUCGAUACUGCCGUGCUUGAGGACUGGAGAGGAGACUGGAAUUUACGGUGUAGCGGUGAAAUGCGUAGAUAUCGUAAGGAAGACCAGUGGCGAAGGCGGCGACCUGGACAGGCACUGACACUCAACUACGAAAGCGUGGGGAGCAAACAGG
rnacentral:rRNA from 1 species